rnacentral:rRNA from 1 species
UACGAAGGGGGCUAGCGUUGUUCGGAUUUACUGGGCGUAAAGGGCGCGUAGGCGGAUUUUUAAGUCGGGGGUGAAAUCCCGGAGCUCACCUCCGGAUCUGCCUUCGAUACUGAAAGUCUGGUGCACGGUAGAGGUGAGUGGAAUUCCGAGUGUAGAGGUGUAAUUCGUAGAUAUUCGGAGGAACACCAGUGGCGAAGGCGGCUCACUGGAACGUUGCUGACGCUGAGGCGCGAAGGCGUGGGGAGCAAACAGG